rnacentral:rRNA from 1 species
AUUGAACGCUGGCGGCAGGCCUAACACAUGCAAGUCGAACGAGUGGCGGACGGGUGAGUAAUGUCUGGGAAACUGCCUGAUGGAGGGGGAUAACUACUGGAAACGGUAGCUAAUACCGCAUACCAUCGGAUGUGCCCAGAUGGGAUUAGCUAGUAGGUGGGGUAAAGGCUCACCUAGGCGACGAUCCCUAGCUGGUGUGAGAGGAUGACCAGCCACACUUGAACUGGGACACGAUCCAGUCUCCCACGGGAUGCCGCAGUGGGGAAUAUUUGACAAGGGUCUCAAGCCUGAUGCAGCCAUGCCGCUGGUAUGAAAAAGGCCUUCUGGUUGUAAAGUACUUUCAGCGGGGAGGCGUUACCCGCAGAAGAAUCACCGGCUAACUCCGUGCCAGCAGCCGCGGUAUUAC